rnacentral:sRNA from 1 species
AAAAGAUGGGGUCUUACAAAAAAGCCAUGUCAAACUAAAAAACAAGCAUUCACUUUCUCACCCUUGCUCUCUUCUUAUAUAUAACAUCAUUCUACUAAAAAACCAUCUGUAAUUAUAUUUAUAUAUAUCUAUAUAUACUUAAAAACUAGACUUCUUAUCUCAAGAGUUAGCAUCACAAGAUCAACUUUUUAGACCUUAGAAGACUUUAAGAACAGAUCAGGCUUUCUUCUUCUUGUUGUUGUUGUUCUUGAUCAGGCUUUCCUGUGUCUGUUCUCUCUGCUUUCCCUUAAGCUUCUUCCUCU